AUUGAACGCUGGCGGCAGGCUUAACACAUGCAAGUCGAGCGGGGUGAUGGUGCUUGCACUAUCACUUAGCGGCGGACGGGUGAGUAAUGCUUAGGAAUCUGCCUAUUAGUGGGGGACAACAUCUCGAAAGGGAUGCUAAUACCGCAUACGUCCUACGGGAGAAAGCAGGGGAUCACUUGUGACCUUGCGCUAAUAGAUGAGCCUAAGUCGGAUUAGCUAGUUGGUGGGGUAAAGGCCUACCAAGGCGACGAUCUGUAGCGGGUCUGCGAGGAUGAUCCGCCACACUGGGACUGAGACACAGCCCAGACUCCUACGGGAGGCAGCAGUGGGGAAUAUUGGACAAUGGGGGGAACCCUGAUCCAGCCAUGCCGCGUGUGUGAAGAAGGCCUUAUGGUUGUAAAGCACUUUAAGCGAGGAGGAGGCUCUUUUGGUUAAUACCCAAGAUGAGUGGACGUUACUCGCGGAAUAAGCACCGGCUAACUCUGUGCCAGCAGCCGCCGUAA
rnacentral:rRNA from 1 species